UUGAGACCGAUCAAAAUAAAGAAAAGGGAUUUUGCAGAGGAAGCAUCAGCAACAGCUAAGGACCAUCUUGCGUGGCAAACUUGAAGAGGCUUUGGGGCCAACUAGAGUGUCCUGAGGAAGUUUUGAUGCUUGUGAAGAUCCAAAACACUCAAUCUGAUCUCAACGUCACAUCCCUAAGUGAUUGUAAAUGUAUUUUUUUUCAAUUAAAUAUGCUUUUUGUAUGCUCAUUAGAUUCUAGCUCUCCUUUAAUCAAAUACUAAACUGCUGAUUUUUUGUAUGUUACCGUGAUCCCUGAUGCAGAGUUGUUCAAUGCGGUUGCAGUCUAAUGAUAUCACACUGGAGUUGAUGAGGCUAUGAAGAGGGAGGUAUGCACUGCUAGGCUCCUCCAUUUCUAUCAGUUUAUUUGUGUGAUGAUAUCCUUCGAAUGUUAUCAUAUAGAUUUGACAAGCUCAAUUCUCAUGUAUGUGGCAUUGGAUUUGUAAAGUUGAAAUUGACCUCCUC
rnacentral:lncRNA from 1 species